rnacentral:snoRNA from 1 species
AACCCAUAGUGAGAGCACCUUCUCAAUAAAUCCUUAGACCUCUCCCAUGCAUCAUAUAAGGUCUCUAAAUCCAUUUGCACGAAGGAAGAGAUAUCAUUCCUCAACUU